rnacentral:rRNA from 1 species
UAGGGAAUCUUCCACAAUGGGCGCAAGCCUGAUGGAGCAACGCCGCGUGUGUGAUGAAGGGUUUCGGCUCGUAAAACNCUGUUAUAAGAGAAGAACGGCACUGAGAGUAACUGUUCAGUGUGUGACGGUAUCUUACCAGAAAGGAACGGCUAAAUACGCGCCAG